rnacentral:rRNA from 1 species
UACAGGGGGGGCAAGCGUUGUUCGGAAUUACUGGGCGUAAAGGGUCUGUAGGUGGCCAACUAAGUCAGACGUGAAAUCCCUCAGCUUAACUGGGGAACUGCGUCUGAUACUGGAUGGCUUGAGUGUGGGAGAGGAAUGCGGAAUUCCAGGUGUAGCGGUGAAAUGCGUAGAUAUCUGGAGGAACACCGGUGGCGAAGGCGGCAUUCUGGACCGACAUUGACGCUGAGGAGCGAAAGCCAGGGGAGCAAACGGG